GACAGAGGGUGCAAACGUUGUUCGGAAUUACUGGGCGUAAAGCGAGUGUAGGCGGUCUCAUAAGUCGGGUGUGAAAGCCCCGGGCUCAACCCGGGAAGUGCACUCGAAACUGUGAGGCUAGAGUAUCGGAGAGGUUGGUGGAAUUCUCGGUGUAGAGGUGAAAUUCGUAGAUAUCGAGAGGAACACCGGUGGCGAAGGCGGCCAACUGGACGAAUACUGACGCUGAGACUCGAAAGCGUGGGGAGCAAACAGG
rnacentral:rRNA from 1 species